rnacentral:lncRNA from 1 species
GCAUUGACAGGCCGGUAUAAACCCCCGGCUCGGAUCGAGCUAUGCCGGAUGCUGCCUUAAGCCUUAUGAGGUCGCCACGGAACCGCAGGGAUUCUCCAAGAAACCUGAACAAGGAAAGAUUAGAGAUAGAAAAAGAGAGAGAGAGAGACCAGUCUGCCAGAAACCAGGACUCAGUCCCCCAGCAUCCUGGGAUGUGGACUGACUCAAGGGAUGGCCCCUGUCAGGGCCACUUCCCUCC